rnacentral:lncRNA from 1 species
UGCAAAUCCACUUUACAGUGCCAGUGCCCAAGGCUGUAAGCCCUGGAGCUUGGAGAGAAAUUUGGAAGAAAAGCAAGAGAAACAGCAACCAAAUUGUCUUAGAAUGUAGAAUGUCUUUGGGUUGUUUUCUCUUUUCAAACAAUGACAACCAACAUACAGUUCAUUAUUUCCGUUUUCUAAACAGAGGACCAUGUUCCUACUUGGCGAUAUGGGGCUAACAUAAAGAAUAAAAGUAAGAUAGGCUGGUUGGGGGCAUUGGCUCAGGCCUUUAAGUGGAAAAUGGAUUUUGUGUACAUGGCUUUAGGACUACCCUUGAGAUUACAAAGGAAAUAGGAAAACAUGGCUAUGCUUGCAGACUGUAAUCAUCUUGGCGCAUAGGUAUAUGUGCUCAUAUUAAAAUAAUGGCCACUUGUGAAUGACUGAUUGUUGGAGGAGUGUGAAGGGAUGUUCCUGCCAGAAACUGACCUUAGAGAUCUCUUGAGUGAAUAGCUGAGGGAUUGCUGAUAGGAAACAGAGAAGUGAAAGCCGCUCUUCUAAGUUUGUACGUGGUCUCUCUCCAAAACAAACCAACGGGUUCUAAGACCCUGAGUACCUUAGGACUUGCUGCUAAUUGAAAUUUGAGCAGGACUGGCACCUUAGCAAUCUUCACUCUGGCUCUAUGUCACAGGCUAGAGUAAACAUACAGAAUAAUACAGAUGUAUAGAUUUACAAAUUUGGAAGUACAAACUUUGGAAUUAUUGAACACUUGUUCUCAAUUGCUAAAGAUCCUUUAAUCAAGCAUAUCCUCGCCAGGGUACUGAACAAAGCUGGAUGAAAACUUUGCAGGGCAUAGCAAUUUUGGGGAUGAGAAAACUGAAGUUAAGAAAUAUGUAUGAAAUUCAAGGAUAGCUAAUAACUUACUGAAGACCCUGCAGCUGGAGAUAAAACGUUCUGAAGCUAACAGGCCACUGCCUUGGCAACAGUAGAAAAAAAUAUGAGAUCAGAAUGUUGGCUGUGAUCUUGAGAUGGCUUUCUUGUGCCCAUUUCAUUCGGUGAGUGUCAACAUGUAGGCAAAAUUGCAUAAGGUUUAAGAGCUCAGGUUUGGAUUCAAAUAGGCUUUGCUUUGGUUCCUAGUUCUAGUGUUGACCAUAUGACCUUAAACAGACUACUUAACUUUACAUGUCUGAAUUUCAAGAUCGUUUGAAGAUUAAAUGUUUCAUGUCAAGGGCUUAGUACAGGUCUUGGCACAUAAAGCGCUCCAUGAAUGGUCACUGUGAAUAUGUACCUUACUGUGGAUCAGAGUUUCUCAGCUUCUGUACUAUCGACAUUUUGGGCUAGAUAAUGCUUUGUUGUGCAGAGACUGUCCUGUACAUUGUAGGAUAUUUAGCAGCAUCUCUGCUCUCUUACCCACUAGGUGCCAGUAGCAGCGUCAAUUCCCCGUUCCCCUCACCCCACCCUACCCCUGGCCCCCAAGUUGUGACAACCAAAACUAUCUCCAGAUGUUGCCAAAUGUCCAGUUGGUGAUUGGGGAACAAAACAUCUGAGGUUGAGAACCACUGCUUUAGAUCAAUCCAAGUUCUAGCAGAUGAGAAUAACUCCAUUCUUCUUUUGAUGUAUUUAUUAAUAUUUUUAAGCCUUGAAAUGAAAAAUUGCUUUUUAAGCAUUAGAAAAUGCAUACUCUUCUUUUGAAAGCCUAGCAAUAAAUCCCAUAACUAUCAGGGUCUUCGUUUCCUCAUCUUGAGCCUUAUUUCAAGGCUCCCUCUGUUCUAAAUUCUGACCUUGAAAACUCUAUUCCUACCUCUUUCUUUUUUUGGACAGGGUCUCACUCUGUCGCCCAGGCUGGAGUUCAGUGGCGCAAUCACAGCUAACUGUACCCUCGACCUCCUGGACUCAAGAGAUCCUUCCACCUCAGCCUCCUAAGUAGCUGGGACCACACUUGACUAAUUUUUGUAUCUAUAUCUUUCAUUUCACCAAAGAUUUAAAACAAUUUCUCACUAUGAAGAAACUUAUACAAGCAAUAUACAUUCAACAGGAAAAAUGAGGAAAUUCAGAUAAGCAAAAAAAGAAAGAAAGGAAAAGAAGUAUCAGUUGUGUUUCCAUUAGUUAGAACUACCUAGGGCUAACAUGAUGAUGAGUGGGUUUUCAGAUGUUUUUGGAAUGCAUGUUUGUGUGUACAUACACAAAUAUACAUGCAGUCACACAAUACACACAUUUUAUUUCUUGUGUGCUUAUCAUUUUUUCAUGGUAUAUCAUUUUUUCAUGGUCAUUAGUUCUAGCUAUCUCCAGACUUGAUGCUAGACUAUACAUUUUUUCUCAUGUAUGACAUUCCUCAAGAAGUGGUUCGACUCAUAUGUCUUUCUUUACCUACCACCUAGAUAAGCCCCAAAUUCACACUGUUACUCCUUUAUUUCUCCACAGAAAAAUAACUUUCAUUACAUGUACAAAUGACAAUUAAGCCAAUUAGAGUAAACAACUUUUGGUCAAUUCAGCUCUCACUUUGCCAGGAACCAAUGGCCAUCCUCAGUUUUUUUUAAGUAUGGAGGUUUGGAAGUCAAAUUUGACGCCUUUCUUCCUUUCCUGUCCCCACCCCUGCCCACAGUCACUUCCACAAUCUCUUGCUUUUUCUUUGGACCUAUUUCCAGGGUCACACGCAGUCAGGUCCUAAUUAUUUUGUUCCAGGUAUGCUGUUUCCUAGCAUCUCUCCUGCCAAUCACUUUGAUCGAGAUAGUACUCUCCUCUUUUCAGAAACCUACAAUGACUACCCAUUGCUUCUUGUAUCACAAGCUGAAUCUCUCUAAUGAGCUUUGAGGGGCUUCCACACUCCCCUGGGUCCUCCUCCCUGAGCUGUGUCUUCCUCAGGUUGCACUUUUUGUUCCUUAUUAACCCUUCGCAACCCAGUUUCCCUACUCCCCUUUCUGAUCAACAGUCCAUUAAAAAUAAGGUAAAACAAUGCACAGUGCUGACGUCUUUUUAAAAAGAAGAAAACCCUAGGACACUAAUACAAUUAUCCUUUUGCUUAUGCUUCAGUUAUCGGUUGUAACUACUUGUUACAUUAAUUGGGUGUAUCUUUGUUACAGAGGAUUAAUAAAUGUUUUAUUUAUUUAUUUUAGUUUCAAAAACAUGCCUUGAAAUUUCACCAGAUUGGGUGAAACGUGUUUACAAUACUAGGAAGUGAACAGCAGGCACUAAUUUUUUGUAGCAGUAUUUCUCAUCAAGGCACAUGCAUUUACCUAAUCCAAAAGAUGGCUAGCUUUCUCAGUUAAAAGGUAUACAGAGAAAUAACCCUUGCAUUUGAUCAUUGUAACUUGGACAACAUUUCACUCUAUUGAAUAUAAACGGGAAUCUGUAUGCUGUUAUUAUUUUAAAAAAAAUUUUUUAAUCCAGCUUUUAGUAGAGGAUAAACUUCUUAAUGGCAAGGACCAUGGCUUUUACUUCCUUUGUGAGGCUCACAAUAAUGGGAACACAGCUUCAUGUGCAAUUGGUCUUCAAUAAAUGUUGCUAGGUGAUUCAUAUUUGAAUGGGAAAUGGAAAGAAAAGCCUGACGGACUUAAAGGAUUUGUGUGCAUGCAUCUUGCUGUGAAUAAUACAAAUGUGGAGAGAGAUGACUAAGUGGACAGCAUAGGGCAUAGAGAGCUUUGGCCCCUGAAAUACUCAGUAACAGGAAGUUACAGUGUGACUAACUGUAACCAGGUUGUGAAAUGGAAAGCAGAGGAACUGGAGGAUGUACUGGAAGAACUCAGGGGUGCACACAGAAGUGAACUGCAGCAUCAAAGAUGUAAUGCCUUUCCGGGUGAGAACUUCAGAAGGAAGGACAGCACAGGGGACAAAGGAAGGGAUAGAAAUGAUAAGUGUCUUAAAAUGAAAAGGUGAUGGAAAGAAUUCUUAAGGCAGAAAUAAAAAUCCUAUCAAUAACAAGGUUGGGUUUAGAGUUAAAAAAAUAAUCACACGGCCGGGCACAGUGGUUCAUGCCUGUAAUCCCAGCACUUUGGGAGGCUGAGGUGGGUAGAUCACCUAAGGUCAGGAGUUUGAGACCAGUCUGGCCAACAUGGCAACACCCCGUCUAUACUAAAAAUAUUAAAAAAAUUAGCCGGGCAUGGUGGUGGGCGCCUGUAAUCCCAGCUACUCAGGAGACUGAGGCAGGAAGAAUUGCUUGAACCCAGAAGGUAGACGUUGCAGUGAGCUGAGAUUGUGCCACUGCACUCCAGCCUGGGAGACAGAGUGAGACUCCAUCUCAAAAAAUAAAUAAAUAAAUAAAUAAAUAAAUAAUCACGCAGAUAUUUUGUUUCCUACUUUAAAUAAAAGCAAGGCUUCACAUUUGACCACAGAAUGUUGUAUUGCUUCUCUGCUAUGUGGCACAGCUUUGAUAUCAGGUCCAGGACUGCUAAGUGAAAGAAAAGAAAUUUCUGGUAUGUUUGGAGCCUAUGAUUUCAUCCCUCCUCUCACUCCAGCACAUCUGAUCUAUGUAUCCUCAAAAAUGGAGCUGCUCACCUUUGCCAGCUCAGUUCUUCCCAUCCUAAGCUUUCCUGAGCCAGUACCACUUAAGCAUGUUAUAAAAUGCCAAAGCCAUUCAUGGUCAUUAUGGUGUCCACAAAUAUGUUCACAAAUUCUUGACACUCCCUUCAGAAGGGAGAACCUAAUCCCUCUCUCCUGGAGUGUGGCUGGACUUAAAUUAUUUUGCUUCUAAUGAAUGAAACAAUGAAGAAACGAAGGUGUGUGAUUUCGAUAGUAUGUCAUGAAAUGAACUGUGGCUUCCUCCUUGGUCUCUCUUGAAGCUGACUCAGGGGAAGCCAGCUGCCAUGUCAUGAGAAAACUUAAGCAGCCCUGUGGGGAGGUCCAUGUGGUGAGGAACUGAGGCCUCCAGUCAGCAGCCAUGGGAGGGAGCCACAUAUGAAGUAGAGUCUCCAGCCCCAGUCAAGCCUUCAGAUGACUGCAGCCCACUUGACAGCUUCACGGUAGCCUUAUGGAAGAGCCUGAGCCAUAACCACCCAGCUAAGCUGCUCCUGCAUUCCCUUGAAAACCAUGUAAGAUAAUAAAUGUUUGUUGUUUGAAGUGGCUAUGUUUUGAGCAUAAGUUGUUACACAGCAAUAGAUAACUAAUAUGGUAAUCUUUCCAAUAGAGCUCUUCUUUACUUUGGAGUUAAGUUUUUAAGUUUUAUUAAAAGGUCUUUUCAUUAUUUUGGAAUAUGUGUUUACCUGCAUUUAAUAUGUAAAUGGAUCAGAUGUUAUAAAAUGUUCAGGUAAAUUAAAUCCCACCUUCUUUUUUAGCUUCUGAUUUUAACAAAGAGAAAUGAUUUUUCUCAUCUACUGAGGUACCAGAAACAAUGAGGGUACUGUAAGGCCUCAAAGAGUCUAACAGACCUCUAGAGUUAGGAGUGGGGAGUGGCUAGAUUAUGUCUUGAGAUGUUUUCCUCAUUUAAAAUCAUUUAACAUAAACAAAAAAGAUGGCAUUUUAAUAUUGUACUUUAAAAUAUGAAAAAUAAAUAGUUUUUAUUUUAAAUAGAGGUAAAUUAUGCAGGAGGAACAAUCUUGUCAGAGCCAAGAUUGAUUUUUUUUAAAAAAAUCACCAGUGAAACUUGCUAACAGUUGGCUUUUAAAAGAGAACAGUAAUACACUUUUACCAUUUUGUUUACAGUCCCUGUCUAUAAAAUUUUCACAUAUAUAUGAUAAUAUAUUUCUUCCAGAAUCUUUCUAUCUUUGUAUGCACAAUGCCUAGACACCACAGGCACAUAAAAUAUGUUGAAUGAAUGAAUGAAUGAAUGAAACUGGCUUAAAGGAAAACUGAAGAAACUUACACUCUCCUAGAGGAUUAAAAAAGUACAAAUCACACGAUAUGAUUAAUGUUUUUAAUUUUAAAAACACAGUACAUCCUAUGGGUCUGAUACUAUUUUAAAUGCUUAACGUAAACUAAUACACAGAGUCAUCCUAAUAUCUCUAUUGAUUAUCAUCCCCUAUCUUUCCUUUUUUUUUUUUUUUUGAGAUGGAGUCUUGCCCUGUCGCCCAGGCUGGAGUGCAGUGGCGCGAUCUCAGCUCACUGCAAGCUCCUCCUCCUGGGUUCACGCCAUUCUCCUGCCACAGCCUCCCGAGUAGCUGGA